AUCUGGCAGGCGCGGGACGACCCUGCAGAUCGGUCCGGUGGCGUGCACUGGAUCGAAGAUGCGAUCUGGCGAGAGCCGCCUCGACCCGGGAUUGAAGCGACGCGUCGGGAGAUUGUAGAGACGCGGCUGGAGCUCCUCCACGUGCGGGACGAGGGCCGGUACCAGCGGUGGGAAAGCUAGAUCGGAAAAAACACGAGUUGCGCGUGCAAAAAGAACCUAAGCUCUAAUACCAUGUUAGGAAAGCAACUUAUCUUCCCAUGAGGCCAUAGGCCGAUAUAUAUACAUGUACAGGUUAUGGACUAUAUGCAGGAAAACCUCUUAUAUAUUGGGAUAAAUACAAAAGGGUACAUGACUUGUAUUAUAACUCUAACAC
rnacentral:lncRNA from 1 species